UACGGAGGGUGCAAACGUUGCUCGGAAUCAUUGGGCGUAAAGCGCACGUAGGCGGCUCGUUAAGUCGGAUGUGAAAGCCCUGGGCUCAACCCAGGAAGUACAUACGAAACUGGCGAGCUUGAAUAUGGAAGAGGGUCGCGGAAUUCCCGGUGUAGAGGUGAAAUUCGUAGAUAUCGGGAGGAACACCAGUGGCGAAGGCGGCGACCUGGGCCAAUAUUGACGCUGAGGUGCGAAAGCGUGGGGAGCAAACAGG
rnacentral:rRNA from 1 species